AUUGAACGCUGGCGGCAUGCCUUACACAUGCAAGUCGAACGGCAGCACGGACUUCGGUCUGGUGGCGAGUGGCGAACGGGUGAGUAAUAUAUCGGAACAUACCUUGUAGUGGGGGAUAACUAUCCGAAAGGAUAGCUAAUACCGCAUACGCUCUAAGGAGGAAAGUGGGGGAUAGCAAGACCUCAUGCUAUAAGAGUGGCCGAUAUCUGAUUAGCUAGUUGGUGAGGUAAAGGCUCACCAAGGCAACGAUCAGUAGCUGGUCUGAGAGGACGACCAGCCACACUGGAACUGAGACACGGUCCAGACUCCUACGGGAGGCAGCAGUGGGGAAUUUUGGACAAUGGGGGCAACCCUGAUCCAGCAAUGCCGCGUGAGUGAAGAAGGCCUUCGGGUUGUAAAGCUCUUUUGUCAGGGAAGAAACGGUUGUGGCUAAUAUCCAUGGCUAAUGACGGUACCUGAAGAAUAAGCACCGGCUAACUACGUGCCAGCCGCCGCCGUAAUAC
rnacentral:rRNA from 1 species